UGAGGGAGAGAAUCUCGCGCACCUAUGGGAUUAUUGUUGGAGGAUAGUCCACGCCGCGAGCCCCUACAAGAGGCAGUUGGCGGUAGUAUUUUUUGAUGAUUUUUUGUCGUCCACUGCCUCCACUGUCAGUUUUCUAAAUAUAAAUGGACUCAAACAAAUAAUAACAGCUCUAAGAGCGAGGCUAAGUUUUGAACUGUUUGGCAUGGGCGGCCCAGGGAAAGAGGAUUCAGUUGUUCUCCUGGAGGCCCUAGCCACUUGGUGCUCUCAACGACAGCAGCAUUUUUUGCCACGGUUUAUCACCAAAUCGUUUGAUCCAUCCUUGAAGAAGAAAUGCAACCCUCGCCAUCAUCACCCAACCACACUUCCAUUCUCUCCUGUAGUACGGACUGGUGCAGUUUUCAUUUCCACACCUUCAGCUCAGUUAGCUGAUCAGCAGCCACCUUCAGCUCAGUUAGCUGAUCAGCAGCCACCUUCAGCUCAGUUAGCUGAUCAGCAGCCACCUUCAGCUCAGUUAGCUGAUCAGCAGCCACCUUCAGCUAGGUGUCCAGUGUUCCCUGCUCAGCAGCCACCUUCAGCUAGGUGUCCAGUGUUCCCUGCUCAGCAGUCACCUUCAGCUAGAUGUCCAGUGUUCCCUGCUCAGCAGUCACCUUCAGCUAGGUGUCCAGUGUUCUCUGCUCAGCAGUCACCCGUAGCCCAGUCACCUACUCCACCACCGCUUUUCUCUCAAAUUCAGUCACCCGUAGCUCAGUCUUCACCCCCGCUAUCCAUAGCUCAGUCGCUACCUCAAUCAGACCUUUUGCAGACUUUAUUACAGUCCCUAGCCCAGUCAGUAGCGCAGCUAGUGGAGGAAUCAUUAGCUUUGUCUUCUGCUCAGUCAGCCACUCAUCUUCACCCUCAGUCAGGGGUCCCAAUUGCCUCUGGCCCUGCAUCUACUCCAGCUGGAGGGCCCGAGGAGCCCGUCCAGCCUCAUGUCUCGUCAGCUGGAGGGCCCGAGGAGCCCGUCCAGCCUCAUGUCUCGUCAGCUGGAGGGCCCGAGGAGCCCGUCCAGCCUGAAGUUUUGUUAGCUGGGGGUUCGGGAGAACCCAGCCAGCGUCCUACCUCGUCGGCUGGAGGUCCUGAGGAGCCCGUCCAGCUUCAAGUUUCGUCUGCUGGGGGUUCGGGAGAGCCCAGCCAGCUUCAAGUUUCGUCUGCUGGGGGUUCGGGAGAGCCCAG
rnacentral:lncRNA from 1 species